GACGAACGCUGGCGGCGUGCUUAACACAUGCAAGUCGAACGAAGUGGAGGACGGGUGAGUAACGCGUAAUCAACCUGCCCUUCAGGGGGGGACAACAGUUGUAAACGACUGCUAAUACCGCAUACGGAUGGAGGGGAUUGCGUCUGAUUGGCUGGUUGGAGGGGUAACGGCCGACCAAGGCGAUGAUCAGUAGACGGUCCUGGAGGAUGAAGGGGCAAAAUUGGACUGGAAAACGGGCCAGACUCCCAAGGGAGGCAGCAAGUGGGAAUCUGUCGCAAAUGACGAAAAUCUUACUGAGCAAAGCCGCGUGAGUGAUGACGGACGUCGGGUUGGAAAGGUAUGUUAAUCGGGACGCGGUACCCGAAUAAGAAGCCCCGGCUAACUACGUGCCAGCAGCCGCGGUAAUAC
rnacentral:rRNA from 1 species